AGAAAAAAAGUGAAAACACCCUAUUACCACUGUGUUUACUCAACCAGAGAUGUGCGAUGAAAUCAUUUGAAAAUUAGUUAUCAUUAGGAAUUUCCUAUUAAUUUCACAACAAUUAAGUUUCGCUGUGUUUAUUUUGGUAUCUUCAGGGCAAUUUUAUGUAUCUUGUUCUGAAUAUGUCAAAAGCAAAUAUUGCAAAGCGUCGACGAUUCGAAAAAAAUGAAGUUUUCUUUCACUCCGAACCAAAUCCAGUCUGUUCAGACGAAUCGUAAAAAGUAGCAUCAAAACAUCUUUAUUAUCUUGAAAGUUUUAAUUUUUAAGACAAUUUUACCAUCUCCUAUAUUUACAGGGUGUUUGUUAAAGAUGUCCGAAUAUUUAAUGAAGUGAUUCCACAUGGACGUUAUGGAUUCAUUUGUAAACAUUAUGAGAAGAGCAAAUUUGUUUAAAAAUCUUUGACAAACUCAGAUAUUUCCGUGAGGUUUAGUAGCUAAUUCAGUGCAUUGCCGAUUUUUGCAAGUUUUUUAAUUACAAUUGGUAAAAGGAUCUCUAGGCCUCACCGAAUGAAAGCGAAAAUUCCCUAAUCUUUCGAAUGUUUCAUUUGCAAAAAACCUCUAUCGGAGAACCAUUUGUCCAAUGCGUGUUUCCCAUAACUUUGGCACCAAAAAAGUGUUUCUCUUUUAACUGGCAUUACAUACCAUAAAACCUUUCCAAGCGGUUUUGCGAAUAUUAUUUACUUAAUUUGUGUUAUUUGCAACACCUGUUGAACGACAUGUUCUCAGUGUAUUCCUCUCCUUAUGCAAGUAAUAACACAUAAGGAAAUUAGAUAUUCAAUUACAUAAAAUGCUUUGUUUCAAUUGCGCAGCGGUGUUGUUUCAGCUUCCACAUGAAACCCAAUGCUUCAUAUAAGGGCAAGCGGAUGUGCCAUCAUCUACAAUAGAUCGUAGCAGAAGCUUUAGUGCGAAGUUAAUCUGGUUCAAUCAUUUAAUAAUAAGCCUUAUAAUAACACUUAACCAAUUCAAAAGCCGUUUGUGGGUCAUCAAUAUCAAACUACACUCGGCUUAAGCCUUUAUUAAAUGUACCUACGAGCUUUGAAACCAUGGCAUGUCUGAGAAACCAUUAGGUAACUAACCCAUAAUUAUUAAAUCUAGGUCGUUCGGCUUUUCGUAGGUGGCGCAUAAACUAAUAACGAAUAAACAUUGCAAUUAUCUCGUCCAAUUUGCUGACAAUUUUUAUCGUACAGUUCAAGUAGCAUUGUUUAGGUGAUUAAAAUACUCGGUUGUUGAUAAUGAAAGUUCGCCGAAGCAAACUAUUAAGGGAACAAAGAGUGAAUAGAACCAAGUAGAUGAAGCAACGAAUCACCUAUAAAGAAGAACCGGCUGGAAUUUUGAAGUGCGACACAAAGAACCUUUGAAGAUGUUGAGACGGAUGAAGAUAAAUAGCAAAAGACCGAUGGUUUCUUAGAUAUUAUUUGCUGCCUUGAGCGGAGAUUAAUUGAGACAGAAGAAUCUUUGAAGAAAUCCAGUUGGUUCAACACUAAUGAGAGUGAUACAACGCACAUCCCAACAGAAAGACAUAUUUUGUCCAAUUCCAAGUCAAAUCUGGAUUAAUUUUAAGCCAAAAUGUUCGCAUUUUUUAAAAUAGAUCCAUAUCUAUCUAAUAUAAAAAAAUGUUGGUGUUAAAUGUGUGCAGCAAUUUUAGAUACAUUUAAGAAGAUACGGAAAAUCUGUCUUUAUUUCCAGUGAUAGCCUUUGAGUUUUAACCCCUUUGAGAGAUCAUAGAUGAUAAAUAUAUCCAAUUUGUGGGCGUUCGGUCGGAACGCUAUAAUUGAA